ACGGAGGGGACUAGCGUUGUUCGGAAUUACUGGGCGUAAAGCGCACGUAGGCGGACCGAAAAGUUGGAGGUGAAAUCCCAGGGCUCAACCUUGGAACUGCCUUCAAAACUGCCGGUCUAGAGUUCGAGAGAGGUGAGUGGAAUUCCGAGUGUAGAGGUGAAAUUCGUAGAUAUUCGGAGGAACACCAGUGGCGAAGGCGGCUCACUGGCUCGAUACUGACGCUGAGGUGCGAAAGCGUGGGGAGCAAACAGG
rnacentral:rRNA from 1 species